CUGAUUUCCGUCCUCAGGAAAGGAUCCCCAAGCUUCUCAAAAAGUAUCAAAGGACUGAAACUCAUCAGAUCACUGCAUCUAGACAAUGAGACUCCAGGCCCUUCAUUCCUAACAAUUGCUCCCUCCCAAGUUCCUGUUUUCUCAAGCAUAGUUAUGUUUCUUCUCUGCUACAUAAACUCCUAAUUCUAGUCAGUUAGGGAUAUGGAUUUGAGACUGAUCUCCCAUCUCCUCGGUUGCGGCAUCUGAUUAAAGCCUUCUUCCUUGGCAAUACUUGCUCUCAGUUGUUGGUUUUGGUUGUGUUGAGCAGCAGGAUGUAGACCAAACCCCUGGUGUCUUGGUAAAAAAUCAUCCCUUGAUAUAAAGGUGAGAUGAUAAAGAACAAAUGAGGUUAAGGAAUAUCCUCCAAGUCAUGCUGAUUGAGGACAGGAAAUGUGCACAAAGCUCCAAAGCUCUUGCUGUAGCUCAGUGUACGUCCUUGUGCUUUCCAUUCUCAUCUUCCAAAAAGUGAAAUUCUAAAUUCAUUAGUAGAAGCUUCUAGCUAUGUGUCUUUGAGAGCCACCGGCCUUUCUUCCAAACUAUUUGUGAUACCUUUUAGCUGUAAUUAUAUAACAUUUUGAGUGAUUCUCUAGAGUUUUCCUUUGUUGUGCAAAUAGUAAUCUCUUGGCAAAAAGAAAUGACAUUUGAACUGCUUUAAUAGCCUCGCCCUCCUUUCAUUUUCCAUCCGCCUUCUUUCUUUUUCUCAUAUUUUCUUUUUUUUCCUCUUUACUUUAUUUUAUAAGUAAGUUUCUCCUCCUUAUUGCCUCUAAAAACCAUAAGAAUUUUAUUUUGAUAUGCUGAAUCAGAUCCAGGUGGAAUGUUUCAGGAAGUAGAAAUAGGCCUAAUCAAAUGGUAGUCAUUUCACUGAUUAUCUUCUUUUGUACUCAUUUACUUCAAUUUAAUUCAAUCAUUAUUAAGCUCCUAUCCAACAUCCAUGGGAAAAGUUAUUAUUAGACAAGGUUCUUGCACAAUUGCAUUGAAUUGUGCAAAGAAAAAUAACUCUUUUGAGGUCUUGAGGAGAGAGUCUGAACUAAA
rnacentral:lncRNA from 1 species